rnacentral:rRNA from 1 species
ACGGCUCAGUAACACGUAGCUAACCUACCCUAAAGCCCGUAAUACCGUCGGGAAACUGACGUUAAGGACGGAUAAAUGAUUUUUUCUGGAAUGAUUAAUCGUUGAAAAUUUGCGUUAGGAUGGGGCUGCGGCUGAUUAGGUAGUUGGCGGGGUAAAUGCCACCAAGCCAAUGAUCAGUAAGGGCCUUUAGCGAGGAAGCCCUGAGAGGGAAUCUGAGACACUAUUCCCAGCCCUACGGGGUGCAGCAGUCGGGAAAAUUUUGCAAUGCGCGAAAGCGUGACAGAGCAAGCCAGAGUGCAUUUCUUUUUUAGAAACGCUUUUGUGAGAUGUAGAAAGUCCUACGAAUAAGGACCGGGAGAGACUGGUGCCAGCCGCCGCGGUAAUCCCAGCGGUCCAAGUCGCAGCCACAUUUGUUGGGUCUAAAACAUCCGUAGCUUGCCUUGCAAGUCUUAUGUGAAAUCGGGCAUCUUAAGUGUCCGGCGUGCAUAAGAUACUGCUUGGCUAGAGACCGGGAGGUGUAUCGAGUACAGACGGGGUAGCGGUUAAAUGUGUUGAUCCCAUCUGGACUAACAAUCGCGAAGGCACGGUACGAGAACGGUUCUGACAGUGAGGGAUGAAGGCUAGGGGCGCAAAGUGGAUUAGAUACCCAUGUGGUCCUAGCAGUAAACACUGCACACUGAACGUUGGGGCCUCCUCGAGAGGUUUCAGCGCUGUAGGGAAGCCGGAGAGUGUGCUACCUGGGAAGUAUAGCCGCAAGGCCGAAACUUAAAGGAAUUGGCGGGGGAGCAC